AUGGGGACUAGCCUGGGUGGUUAGGCGUCACCUGUAAGCCGAAAACGCCGAUACGCGGCGGGCGAAGUCCGAGGAAGGCCUUGGCGAUCUGUAGGCGCCCUGUGCUUCCCGACUGAGAAGCCUUGUCCCAUGAGGUCGAUGGCCAGGGAUCGAUGCUCCGUAGGGAGCGGAGACCUGUUGUCGCGGAAACCGGUCCAGGCCCGGAAGGGAGCAGACUUACCGUGAACAUACGGCGCCCAUGGGAGUGCGGGGUGGAGAAGGGGAGCCCCGGCAAGUGCAGGCACGCAUUGUCGACCAAGGACACGUCCCCAA
rnacentral:SRP_RNA from 1 species